rnacentral:lncRNA from 1 species
AACUAUUUUUCGUCACGGGUUACAUUCCUUACAUGACUUUAUUAUGCUUUUCAGAAUUCUCAAACUGCUAACAUUCACCCUAUAGCGUAGCCUCCACAGACAAAUUGCAUGGUAUGUAAUUCACCAGUCCAUGCUUUUUACAGAGACGGAUCCAGGAUAUGAAAUUUAUUGUUAUAUUGUUGUAUACUAUGAUCUAGGUGAAUUUGUAAUGCGCUUAGCCUUAAUUAUUUUUCUGGUUUAGCCUUAAUUUGUA